UACGUAGGGGGCAAGCGUUGUCCGGAUUUAUUGGGCGUAAAGAGCGUGUAGGCGGCCUGGUAGGUCAGCUGUGAAAACUCGAGGCUCAACCUCGAGACGCCGGUUGAAACCAUCAGGCUAGAGUCCGGAAGAGGAGAGUGGAAUUCCCGGUGUAGCGGUGAAAUGCGUAGAGAUCGGGAAGAACAUCGGUGGCGAAAGCGCUCUACUGGACGGUAUCUGACACUGAGGGACGAAAGCUAGGGGAGCGAAUGGG
rnacentral:rRNA from 1 species